rnacentral:rRNA from 1 species
UACAGAGGGGGCAAGCGUUGUUCGGAAUUACUGGGCGUAAAGGGCGCGUAGGCGGCCCUCUAAGUCAGACGUGAAAUCCCACGGCUCACCCGUGGAACUGCUGGGCAUACUGGCGAUCUUGGGCCAACUAGGGGCAACUGGAACAAGCGGUGGAGCGGUGAAAUGCGUAGAUAUCGCUUGGAACGCCGAAGGUGAAAACAGGUUGCUGGGGGUUGUGCCGACGCUGAGACACGAAAGCCAGGGGAGCAAACGGG